rnacentral:rRNA from 1 species
GAUAAAACGCUGGCGGCGUGCCUAACACAUGCAAGUCGAACGAUCCCGCAAGGGAGAGUGGCGGAAGGGUGAGUAACACGUGGGAAUCUACCUCCUCGCAGGGAACAACCUCUCGAAAGAGAGGCUAAUACCCAAAAGGGUCAGAAAUGAUCAGAGUCGAAAGGCGUGAGGAGAGGAGCCCGCGGCCCAUCAGCUAGUUGGUGAGGUAAUGGCUUACCAAGGCUACGACGGGUAGGGGAUCUGAGAGGAUGUCCCCCACACUGGAACUGAAACACGGUCCAGACGCCUACGGGUGGCAGCAGUGAGGAAUAUUGGACAAUGGGCGAAAGCCCGAUCCAGCAACGCCGCGUGGAGGAUGAAGGCCUUCGGGUCGUAAACUUCUUUAGAGGGAGACGAGAAAGGACGGUAUCCCUAGAAUAAGCGACGGCAAACUACGUG